CCUGUCCCAGUGACUAAAGUUCAACGGCCGCGAGUAUCCUGAACCGUGUCAAAGGUAGCAUAAUAACUUGCCCAUUAAUUGUGGGCUAGAAUGAAAGGAUUUACGAAAUAUAACCUGUCUCUGUAAGAUAUUUAAAAAUUAAUCUCUAAUUGAAGAACAUUAGAUCAAAUUGAAGGACAAGAAGACCCUAUAGAGCUUUAUCUCAAUGGAAAACUAUCUUCCGCUAAGAUUCGGUUGGGGCGACCAGGGAACUUAUUAAUCAUCCCUCACAACAAGAUGAAUAAAUCCAAAUAAUGACCCUUAAUUAAGAUCAAAAGAACAAGCUACCUUAGGGAUAACAGGCUAAUCCCAUUAAAGAGUCCUUAUCUAUAAUUGGGGUUUGGCACCUCGAUGUUGGCUUAGGGUAUCACUAUGGCGCAAAAGUCAUAUUAAGAUGGUUUGUUCAACCAAUAAUCCCCUACGUGAUCUGAGUU
rnacentral:rRNA from 1 species